UGGGGAAUAUUGCACAAUGGGCGCAAGCCUGAUGCAGCCAUGCCGCGUGUGUGAAGAAGGCCUUCGGGUUGUAAAGCACUUUCAGCGAGGAGGAAGGUGGUGGACUUAAUACGUUCAUCAAUUGACGUUACUCGCAGAAGAAGCACCGGCUAACUCCGUGCCAGCAGCCGCGGUAAUACGGAGGGUGCAAGCGUUAAUCGGAAUUACUGGGCGUAAAGCGCACGCAGGCGGUUUGUUAAGUCAGAAUGUGAAAUCCCCGGGCUCAACCUGGGAACUGCAUUUGAAACUGGCAAGCUAGAGUCUCGUAGAGGGGGGUAGAAUUCCAGGUGUAGCGGUGAAAUGCGUAGAGAUCUGGAGGAAUACCGGUGGCGAAGGCGGCCCCCUGGACGAAGACUGACGCUCAGGUGCGAAAGCGUGGGGAGCAAAACAGGAUUAGAUACCCUGGUAGUCCACGCUGUAAAACGAUGUCGAUUUGGAGGUUGUGCCCUUGAGGCGUGGCUUCCGGAGCUAACGCGUUAAAUCGACCGCCUGGGGAGUACGGCCGCAAGGUUAAAACUUAAAGGAAUUG
rnacentral:rRNA from 1 species